rnacentral:lncRNA from 1 species
GGUCUGUAGGAGGUAAUGAUCAAAUACUAUGAUGAUGAAGAUGCUCUAAAAAUAUACAGAAUCUAAUCUAGUUUAGAUUUGACUGAAAUAAACAUGGACAAGGAUAUGUUGGGAGAUGAUCCUUUUACUUGGAACUUUCACCUUAGUGUGGGACUGUGCAGAUUGAUCUGGAGGAUUUCUAUUUUGGAUGCCAUUAAGCUGUCUAAUAUUUGUUCAUGGUGCAGCAUGUAAUAAUCAUUCAUUUACGAGCUGGAGCACACCAGGAGGAAUUUAUUCUGUUGCCACAGUAGAUGUUAAAGCACACAGAGUUAAGCUCCCACGUUUCUCCCGGAGCGCACCGGGCAGCGGAGCCGCUCGGCGAUGGCACCCAGGCGAUGCUGCCCCUG